rnacentral:tRNA from 1 species
GGGCCUGUAGCUCAGCUAGGUAGAGCGUCCGGCUUUUAACCGGACGGCCCAGGGUUCGAAUCCCUGCAGGCCCGCCA